rnacentral:rRNA from 1 species
GACGAACGCUGGCGGCGUGCUUAACACAUGCAAGUCGAACGGGAGUAUUGAAGAAGCUUGCUUUAGAGAUACUUUAGUGGCGGACGGGUGAGUAACGCGUGAGGAGCUGUCCUAUGCAGGGGGACAACAGCUGGAAACGGCUGCUAAUACCCCAUAAGCCGAGAGGUAAAAGGAUCAAUCCGGCAGAGGAGGUACUCGCGUCCUAUCAGCUAGUAGGUGAGGUAACGGCUCACCUAGGCGAAGACGGGUAGCCGGCCUGAGAGGGCGAACGGCCACACUGGAACUGAGAUACGGUCCAGACUCCUACGGGAGGCAGCAGUGGGGAAUAUUGGGCAAUGGGGGAAACCCUGACCCAGCGACGCCGCGUGGGUGAAGAAAUCCUUCGGGAUGUAAAGCCCUGUUGUAUGGGAAGAGCGGAAGACGGUACCAUACGAGGAAGCCCCGGCAAACUACGUGCCAGCAGCCGCGGUAAACUUGUCUCUA